rnacentral:rRNA from 1 species
GUGGGGAAUAUUGGACAAUGGGCGAAAGCCUGAUCCAGCCAUGCCGCGUGUGUGAAGAAGGUCUUCGGAUUGUAAAGCACUUUAAGUUGGGAGGAAGGGCAGUAAGUUAAUACCUUGCUGUUUUGACGUUACCGACAGAAUAAGCACCGGCUAACUUCGUGCCAGCAGCCGCGGUAAUACGAAGGGUGCAAGCGUUAAUCGGAAUUACUGGGCGUAAAGCGCGCGUAGGUGGUUUUGUAAGUUGGAGGUGAAAUCCCCGGGCUCAACCUGGGAACUGCCUCGAAGAGUGCAUGACUAGAGUACGGUAAAGGGUAAUGGAAUUUCCUGUGUAGCGGUGAAAUGCGUAGAUAUAGGAAGGAACACCAGUGGCGAAGGCGACUACCUGGACUGAUACUGACACUAAGGUGCGAAAGCGUGGGGAGCAAACAGGAUUAGAUACCCGAUUAGUCC